UAGGGAAUCUUCGGCAAUGGACGAAAGUCUGACCGAGCAACGCCGCGUGAGUGAAGAAGGUUUUCGGAUCGUAAAACUCUGUUGUUAGAGAAGAACAAGGACGUUAGUAACUGAACGUCCCCUGACGGUAUCUAACCAGAAAGCCACGGCUAACUACGUGCCAGCAGCCGCGGUAAUACGUAGGUGGCAAGCGUUGUCCGGAUUUAUUGGGCGUAAAGCGAGCGCAGGCGGUUUCUUAAGUCUGAUGUGAAAGCCCCCGGCUCAACCGGGGAGGGUCAUUGGAAACUGGGAGACUUGAGUGCAGAAGAGGAGAGUAGAAUUCCAUGUGUAGCGGUGAAAUGCGUAGAUAUAUGGAGGAACACCAGUGGCGAAGGCGGCUCUCUGGUCUGUAACUGACGCUGAGGCUCGAAAGCGUGGGGAGCAAACAGG
rnacentral:rRNA from 1 species